rnacentral:lncRNA from 1 species
CACCGGCGGUGUUAGGGAUGACAAUAGCAAGCAACAUGAUACCAGUAAUGUCUACGGAUCAGACACCCGUAAACAACAUGGAACUAUAGGUGAUACCGGUAGACAGCAAGGACCAACCGCUGGCUUUACUGCUGACACUGGUAGACAACAUGGAACUACCGGUGGUUUUACUGGUGACACCCAUAGACAAUAUGGCACUACCGGUGGUUUGACCGGUGACACCGGGAGACAACAUGGGACUACCGGUGGUUUUACUGGUGACACCCGGAGACAACAUGACACCGGGAGACAACAUGGGACUACCGGUGGUUUUGCUGGUGAUACCGGGAGACAACAUGGGAAUACCGGCGGCUUCACUGCUGACACUGGUCUGGGAGGCCCUUACGUUGGAGCCAACACCGCUGACACAGGGACUGGUCCUAGAAGUGGAACCACAGGUGGCAGCGGCUAUGGAUCGGGUGGUGGCGCAGGUGGUGGUUAUGGAAGUGGAACUGGGCAUGGUAUCAACACUGGGGGAGCACACAGAGAUGAUGGGUAUGGAAGGGAGUAUCGUGAGCAUGACCAGUCUCGUGGAGAUCAGGACAAGAAAGGGAUAAUAGACAAGAUUAAAGAGAAGCUUCCCGGAGUACACAGUGACAACAGCAAGUAGAAACAUAUGUGUGUGUUUGCAUGCAUGUAUACUACAUAGUAUAAACAUGUUAUAUUGUUGUGUUUUUGAAUAAGUUUGCUGCAUAUAUACGUACUCGUACAGUACUGUCUUGUCGUGUAAAUGUGGUGGAUCUUGUAUAUGGUUAAAGUGUAUGCAAGAGGAAUAAAAUGUGCAUGCAUGCAAGGGAAAGAAGGCAUAGAUGUUCUGUUCUGCCAAUGCAUAUGUAAAACCUACCCUGUUGUAUAGCAGGGUGCUUCAGUUGUGUGUUUUAAAUUUUCCAAUGAAGCAACUUUUUAUUUCUUUCUUUCUUGAUCAUUUAAAUUUUAUGUGACCAGCUAUUUUCUGUUAUCACCUUCCUUAAUAUCUUUUUAACAUGCAUAAGAGAAAAAUUGUUAGAAAGAAUCACUGG